CACAAUAGGUCAGAGCAAAGAUGCUAAUGCACUUUGAAACUUAAAACUUUGUUUUUAAAGCUUGCAGCCUUGCAAAUCCUCUGCUGCUAUUUUGCCAGUGGGCUUGAGCUUGCCUGGCACCUAGUUAGUUGUCAUAGAAACCUUGGACUCUCCUCUACAAACAGUACAGGAGUGGAGCUAUUUAGCCAAAUUGAAGCCAGCGGAGCUCAUACACUUCCAGGACCAGGUUCUGAUCACAUCUUCUGCUAGAAGACCUUGCAAGGCUCGUUCCAGCAAGACAAAGACACCAGGAUGGGUUGCAAUACCAGCAAAACCACAGCAGUGGAUGCUUCAAAAAAACCAGGAGAGACACCAGAGGGAGAAAACACCAGCGAGGAACAUGACACUGAGAUAGUGACCAGCCAGCAGGACGAGGCAGUGGCGGAAAACACAGCAGACGGGACAAGCUGAGCCUUCUCCUUUUCAUCUCCACACCGCUCCUGAAUUCCAGAUCAUUCAAACAACCAAUUACCUGGAAUAAACAAGACAAACUAACUAACAAACUGACAACUUCAGCAGCAGCAAAUCAUUGGCCCUACGGGGAAGUCCAUAAGGAAUACACCUUCAACAUGGGCAACAGGAGCUGUCGAAGUGGGCUUUCUUUCCCAGCCGCUGAUGGCUGGACUUUCUUGUAUGUUGUUUUGCUAGUUGUAAGUUGUUUUGAACCCCAUGGAAGUAACAAAGAAAAAAAUAAGCAAAAAAACACAAAACCCCUAAUAAAAACAACAAUGGCAGUUUAAAGUACAAUGUGUUAUAGUUACAUAAAAAAAAAUUAAAAAAAAAAUAAAAAAUUGUGUGGCUUAAACUGUUCUUUUUGCUUGAAAAACGACCCCCAAGUUGCUUGGUGUCUCAUGGCAUAUAGACUUAUGAGAGUAUUAAAAGCAGAAAUCCCAUUUGUGAUAUUUGAUGAAUACUGAAUGUUUCGUAUAAUCUAACUGAGUAACUGAGUCAAAUGAAAUAUUUAAGCACAUGUUCCAGGGGCUUUAUAUAUAUAUAGGAUGUAUAUAAGAUUCAUACAAUUUGUAUUUAUUCAUAUUAAAUUAACUUGUAUCAUGACUUGUCAAUGAUGGCAAUGCUAUGCAAACAUUAUGUAAUUUAUCGAUUAAACAAAAGAUUGUGUAAGAGUCAAAAAUCAACCACUUCUCGACUUUCUGGAAUUGUUUUUGUAUAAACUGUUAUUUGUUUCAGGCCUUUUGUUUUUCAGUUUUUUGUUAGAGCUAUUGCAAGGAUCUGGAGAUAGGGCAUAUUAUUAUUUGGUGUAGUUUUCCAAUUUUGUUUGAAAUAAAGUCUAUUUGGUCUACUUA